CUUUCCACGUUGCACAAGCCCAGCGCACGGUACCCACUGGAUAUGCCCGAGGCCUCCAGAGGAAAGGAAAGGAGGAAAAGGGACAGAAGAAAUGUUCACAGGAACUGCAUAUGGGCCUGCUACUUGUGUCAAAAUGUGACUGAACUCUCUUCCAGCAGGCUGGAGUGCAGUGGUGCGAUCUCAGCUCAUUGCAACCUAUGCCUCCCGGGUUCAAACGAUGCGUAGUAUGGCAGCAAUUAAGAUGGAAGUAAUGAGGAAAAGGAAUACUUAUCAAUGGAGAUUAGAGAGAGCCAAGUGUGAAUCCCUGGAAGGCAAGAUCGCCAUUCUGGUCUCUUGUGGAUAUCAAUGCUGAUCUCAGCUUCUGAUGCACGGCAGUCAAUUAAUAAAUGAUUGUUGCCUGAAAAACUGAGCCCCAAAACAAUAUUACAAGUUUAAUAUCAGUAAAGGAUUUAAUGCUUUCUAACAUGAAGAUACCAGAAGUUGCUGAUUUUUGUAUAACCCAGAGAUGGAUUUAAAUGCAGAGUGUAUGAACUUCUUCAUUCCUGAGGGAGGACUUAUGAUUUCAUGAGAAAUGCCCUAGGAAAGGGGCCGGGGAGACUGAUGGAGAAGAAGAGUUUGGGAGGGAAGCCCCAAGGACCAUCUGCCCCAUCAGAGUCACAUGCAGAGGGUCCUGCUCCUGCCGUUGGAAGUUGGCUUCCUGAGCUGCUGAACGUGCCAGUCCUGCUGACCCACUCUCAGAUAUCACAGGCACCCGCUGUGUCUGACAGAGACCUUUCUGCAAGUACACGUGCAGGUCUGCUCUGCAAAGGCGUUAUCAUCUGCAGAUUAUUGCACAGAGUGGCUACGAGCUGUGGUGUGAUCCUGUCACAGAGAGAGCCUGGUCACGUUUUCAGAACAGCAGGAAACAGGUACACCUGUAAGCUUAUACUUAUCAGAUUUAAAAAUAAAACAAAAAAUCCAUGCUAUUCCAUGAAAAUCGGACUCAAAUAAACUUAGUCACUGAUCUGUGAAGUAAAUAAUCUGAUGGUAAUGCAUCAGUUGACACUUGGGCCUGGGUUUUUAGGCACUAAUGAAAGCCAGGGGCAAAAUAAUUUUUAAUCUACCAUUAUUUCCCUUGAUGGUUCGACAAAAGUUCUUGUACUAGAAAGUUUUAUAAAACUACUUUCUGAGUGUCCUGUGACAUUUCUCUGAUGAUAUAAAAAGUCAAUAUUUGAUAGCUUAAAUAUCAAUAUUGACAGAAAUAUGAUUAUUUAAAUAAAAACACAAAUAGUAAAAUAAUUUUAUAUG
rnacentral:lncRNA from 1 species